rnacentral:lncRNA from 1 species
CUAGAGAAGAGUGUGAAUCUUUCCAGAGGGAUGGAACAAAGCUAUUUAUUAUUACUUAUUUGUGUUACAGCAGUACCUAAGGACUCCAGCUGAAAUCGAGGCCCCUUUGUCUAGGCUUGGUACAAACAUACAGGAAGAGAGAGUCCCUGCUGAAGACAAAGGGUUGUGGGGAAGGGGAUAUGACCUACAACAGAGUGAACAAAUCUACAAAUGUCAUUAGCAACAACAUGCCAAAAACUGGACAGAAUGAAGACUGACACAAUUGGUUGGACUCAUAGGAACUUUAGUCUCUUGCUUUGUUCAUUUUACAGGUUAGUGUCUCUAUAUAUAACAUAUGGUA